rnacentral:rRNA from 1 species
CGGAGGUGGCUAGCGUUACUCGGAAUUAUUGGGUGUAAAGGGCAAGUAGGCGGCUAGGUAAGUGGGGGGUGAAAUACUCCGGCUCAAUCGGAGAACAGCCUUCCAAACUACCUGGCUUGAGUGUGACAGAGGAAAAUGGAAUUCUCGGUGUAAGGGUGAAAUCUGUAGAUAUCGAGAAGAACACCAGAUGCGAAGGCGAUUUUCUGGGUCACUACUGACGCUAAAUUGCGAAAGCUAGGGGAGCAAACAGAAUUAGAUACUCUGGUAGUCCUAGCCGUAAACGAUGAGCACUAGGUGUCGGGUCCUUCGGGAUUCGGUGCCGCAGCUAACGCAUUAAGUGCUCCACCUGGGGACUACGGUCGCAAGGCUA